GUUUAUUUGGUUUGGUUUUUUUUUAAACUUUCAACAUUAGUCAUUCAGCCACGUGAGCUUUUGGAUGAACACUCACUAUAAGUCCCUCCAGUUUUCUAUCAAGAACAGAUGAUUAGAGAAACAAAUUAUUUUGAAAUAUUGAUUUAUUAUCUUUCAUUUCCAGUCCUAAUACUUUUUUUUUAUUAUUUCAGGGUGCAAGUUGAAUUUUAUAUGAAUGAAAAUACAUUUAAAGAGAGACUAAAGCUCUUCUUCAUCAAAAACCAAAGAUCAAGUCUGAGAAUACGAUUAUUCAAUUUCUCUCUCAAGCUACUGAGCUGUUUCCUAUACAUAGUUCGUGUGCUUCUGGAUGAUCCUACACAAGGACUUGGAUGUAAGGAAUUAAACCGGAGUUGUUCCAAUCAAAACUACACACCUGGAACAAUUGAUUGGUCUCCCAUUAUUUGGGUGAAUCGAAGCUUACCUUUAUGGGGAUUACAGGUAAUGUGUAAAUGACCAAUUAAAUUAUAUCCAUGUUACAACUGCAGAUGAUAUUG
rnacentral:lncRNA from 12 species